CAGUUUUGUGGUUACAGAGCAUCAACCAGGCAGGGAAAUACCUCAAGGAAGAGCUAGGCCAGAAGGAGCAGGUAUUCAACUACAUGGCAAGUGUCGGCUAUGGCAGCAUUUUCACCUUUGAGUGAGAAACUUGUGGGUUCAAGCCCAACUCCAGAGAUCUGAGCACAAAAUCUAGGCAGGCACACUGCUCAUUGAGUGCUGAGGGAGUACAGCACUGUCAGUGAUGCUAUCCUUUUGGCAUUAAACUGAAGCCGGGUGGACAUAAAUGAUCAUAUGGCACAGUUUCAAAGAAGAACAGAGGAGUCCUCCACAGUGUUCUGAACAAUAUUUAUCCUUCAAUUAACAUCACUAAUAAACAGAUUACCUGGUCAUA